CCUUCGGGUUGUAAACCGCUUUUGUCCGGGAAGAAANNGUCUGNUCUAAUACANUNNGCUNAUGACGGUACCGUAANAAUAANCACCGGCUAACUACGUGCCAKCANCCKCGGUAAUACUUAUGGUGCUAGCGUUAAUCNGAAUUACUGGGCGUAAAGCGUGCGCANGCGGUGAUGUAAGACAGAUGUGAAAUCCCCGGGCUCAACCUGGGAACUGCAUUUGUGACUGCNUNNCUUGAGUGCGGUAGAGGGGGAUGGAAUUCCGCGUGUAGCAAUGAAAUGCGUANAUNUGCGGAGGAACACCGAUGGCGAAGGCAAUCCCCUGGACCUGNACUGACGCUCAUGCACGAAAGCGUGGGGAGCAAACAGGAUUAGAUACCCUGGUAGUCCACGCCCUAAACGAUGUCAACUGGUUGUUGG
rnacentral:rRNA from 1 species